rnacentral:lncRNA from 1 species
GUGUGACAAGAAUGUAGGCUUCAUGUCCACAAUAUGGCAGUAGAGAGAAGGGAGUUCUGUCAGUGUAGUGGAUCACGUUGGCACCAUCAAUGUGGAGAGGUAACAUAGCUCCAGUGAGGCGAGUGGUGAGAAUAAAGGUCUUCUUGUAUAAGGCAGUGGUGAAGAUUGGUUAGGCUUUGCAAGACACAUUGUGCUUGAGAAAUGUCCAUUCCGGGGAAUGGUGAUGUCAAUACGGUGAUGUCAACUGCCCAAUUUCACUGCUCUGGGAAUUUAACGAAUGAGAGCUAGGAAAGAAAGAAGAAACUUCAAUUUUAUUAUGAUGAACUGAUAGAGCCAAUAAUUGUUUGGGCAAAUAAGAGAAGGAAUUUUUACAACCAUAAUCACAUUGAAUGACUUGAAAUCAAAGGUUAACAAGUACACAGCUCCGGUAAAUAAAGAAAAAUAAGGAAAAAGAUAAUAGCACUCUUUUUUUUAUUCAUAAAGCCAUAAUGACUUGUAUAAAUAAAAAGAAAAAUCAUUUAGCCAUCUAGGAAAUGCUUAAGAAACUUUGGAGUGAAAUUGAGGUAAAAUAUUGUUGGCUAGCUUACACCCAGGUUUAUGUUUGUACAAGAAGAGCAUAACCCCAUGUGGACCCUUGAAAAGUUAGGAAGUUCCUUACUUUUUAUAAGCUGGAGAUACAUUCUGGUAUGCUCAUCACAUCUGCUUCGUCAACACUAACCUUGAUUUAUUAUGGUUAAGUAAUGUAUUUACAUACUAAAUUUGAACAUGCUUAUUACUUUGGCCUCAUCAUUUUCCUAUUACUUUAUCCAUCUCUAUAACGACCAAGGAAGAAACAAAGAGAAGGAGAAGAGAGGUGAAGAUUGAAGAGUACGAGAAUGUAAGGCUGGAGGAGGAGAGGUAAUUUUCUGUAGCAUGUAAGAGGAAAGGAGAGAGGAAGAAGAAAAACAAUAAUAGAAAAUUAAUUUAACCAGUCAAUAACUACGCAAGAACUGCUGAUUGACAUUAAUGUAAUUUAUGAAAGUUAAACGAGUUUAUAGUGGUAUGAAUAAUAUUUAUGAUUAUGGAAAGGUAUAUAAGUAAUUCAUGUCAAUUGCUACUUGCAGGGUAGACCUAAUUUUCCCUCUAAGGAGACUGAUAUUUUGGAUUUUAACAUGGUAUACAUGAGUAUAGUUCUUUUACAAAUUUAGCUAGUGACGAUUGAUAGUUGGAGUUAUGCUUGAAGCACCUUUUUUUCAAAAUAAAAGCAAUAAAACUUGAGGUGU